rnacentral:rRNA from 1 species
AUGAACGCUGGCGGCGUGCCUAAUACAUGCAAGUCGAGCGAACAGACGAGGAGCUUGCUCCUCUGACGUUAGCGGCGGACGGGUGAGUAACACGUGGAUAACCUACCUAUAAGACUGGGAUAACUUCGGGAAACCGGAGCUAAUACCGGAUAAUAUAUUGAACCGCAUGGUUCAAUAGUGAAGGACGGUUUUGCUGUCACUUAUAGAUGGAUCCGCGCCGCAUUAGCUAGUUGGUAAGGUAACGGCUUACCAAGGCAACGAUGCGUAGCCGACCUGAGAGGGUGAUCGGCCACACUGGAACUGAGACACGGUCCAGACUCCUACGGGAGGCAGCAGUAGGGAAUCUUCCGCAAAGGGCGAAAGCCUGACGGAGCAACGCCGCGUGAGUGAUGAAGGUCUUCGGAUCGUAAAACUCUGUUAUUAGGGAAGAACAAAUGUGUAAGUAACUAUGCACGUCUUGACGGUACCUAAUCAGAAAGCCACGGCUAACUACGUG